GGGGGGGGGGGGGAGGGGGAGUGGGCAGGGGAGCUGGGAUAGCCCUUUGGAGGGCCAUUUUUAAUGUAAAAAGCAGUUUCACUUUGGGAAGCCUCUCCAACAGAAAUGCUCCCGUAACUUUGUAAGGAUACACAUGCAAGGGUAGUUGCCUUGGCCUUGCAGUGUUGAACAAAUUAGAAACAGACUGAGCGGUCGUUAAUUGGGGGGUGGUGGCUAAAUUCACCUGCAUCGGUGGAUGGGAUACAGAUGCAGCCUCCCCAAAAAUGUGAUGGGGAUAUGGGCACUGAUAUGGAAACAUGUUGAUACAUUAAUUAAAAUGAAGCAAGUGACAGAACCAUAUGUGUCCUAGGGUCCCAUUUAAGUUUCUAAAACUAUUUGUGUGCAUAAAACUUUAUAUAUGUUUAUGCAUAGAAAAAUAUCUGGAAGGAUCCAUCCAUAUUCUACCUUUAACACUAUUUCCUCCGGAGAUGGGAUUCAGGGUGGGGUAAGGAGUGGGGGGUUGGGGUGGGGAGGACUCACGGUAUUUGGUUCUCCCACUGGUGUGGUUCAAAUGAGCAUGUGUUUCUUCUGUGAUAAAAAAGGAAGAUCAUAGGAUAUAGCCCUCUGGGACCUCAGAUUCAUUAGACUGGGGGAGCAGAGGCCAAUAGCACUGGGUAGGGUGGACAGGAGGGAUGGGCAAUCUGUGUAUACAGACCGCGAAGACCUUUCCAGAAGUUUUCUGGUGAACAGCAUUUUUGUUUUUUGUUUUAUUUAUCUUUUUAUUUUUCAAUAUAUGAAGUUUAUUGUCGAAUUGGUUUCCAUACAACCCCCAGUGCCCAUCCCAAAAGGUGCCCUCCUCAAUACCCAUCACCCACCCUCCCCUCCCUCCCACCCCCCAUCAACUCUCAGUUUUUUAUUUAUUUUUUUAAUUUUUCAAUGAACAGCAUUUUUGAAAGAGGAUGCUAGCUUAAGGAAGAGGCGUGGUAGAGGGAAGCUUUAUAUCGGGAGGUGUUGACCCCUGGGUAGGCUGGGGGCGGGGAGGAAGCAAAAGAAGAGUAAUUUCACAGGAUCCUAAGGAGAGGGAUAUUUGGCCAGCCUGGUAUGUGCUGAAUGACCUGUGGGAUCCAAAGUCCCAGUGGAGGAAUCACCCUAAAAAAAGAGUGAGGAACAUGUUUGGGGGAGGGUAUGACCAGAUAAUCGGCGGUGGGGGUGGGGCGGUGUGCAGAGAGGGUGAGAGGGCCUGGGAGGGAGUUCACGGUUGAUGACCUGUGAACCGAGAAUGGAUGUGUCACCGAAGUGACAAGUGAUGGAGACAGUCUAAGAACUUCUGAGGGCAACAGGAAACUCUGGGAAUGGAAAAAAGGGUUAGUAAACUGACCUAGCUGGCGACAGAAGGCGGCUGGUUAAUCACACCUUCGUAAUAGAACAAACCUGCAGUUCUGCAUUUUUCUCUUAGCAGAGCUCAAGUGUAAGACGAGAAAGAAAGAAAGGUCAAGCUGUUCCAAGGCUGGGGGAAAAGGCAUGGCCGGCCCAGUGUGAAGGGAGAUGUAAAGAAGUGACGUGGGGUAGAGGAACCAGAUAUGGACUUGGAGGCCCCGAGUUGAGAUGAGCAGCCCCGGAAGCAUUUUGAGAGAAGGGAAUUGUGGACAGCCAGGAUGGCGCGCCUCUUAGGUGAUGUCCAGGUUCAAGGUUUGGCUGUGGGGAUGGAUGCGUUGCGCAAGUAGACAGGAGUAGAGACAGCUCUGUCUCCACCCGGGAACCUAUGCAGGGGGAAGGAUUGGGGCAAAGAUAAAACCUAUGAGCCUGAUGCCAGAGCUCUCAAUUCAUGCAUUCAACAAAUAUUUAUUGAGCACCUGCUAUGUGCCAGGCACUCUUCCUAGCCUUGGUGGGGAGGUGAAUGUGAGAGUCCUCUGGGUUGCUGACAGAUGAAGAUGGGAAGAAGGGGGGGUGGGGGGCGCCAAGAAGAGGAGGGAGCGUCACCGAGGAAGGGGGUGGGGAUAGAAUGGUCAGGAAGAUGAGGUAAGAUGUCAGAGGAGAGUGCUGCCAGGCUGGGAUGGAUCAGAAAAGGAGCACCUUCUCUUCUUUAGAAGAGCUGGGAGAGGAGCCCUGUCAGGGAAAGGCAGGCUUCGGAUGGGGUGAAGGCAGGAAGCUGGUGCGUUUUUCAGCUUCCUCCUGUGCCCCACCCCGCCUUCCUCACACCUCGAGUCUCACAGAAGGGUGCAGGGCCGGUGGAAGGGGAAAGGCGAGUCCUUCCUCGGACACCACGAGGCUCCACUCAGGGACUGUGCCAGGCACUCUUUCCUGUGACAUCAGCUCUAUGUUCUGGCCCUCAUCCACUGCGUGACGGUGGAGAGAAACAGGAAGGGUCAGAGAGGAACGGUAAGACCAGACACAGUGGUAGGAGAGAGAAGCGUCCAGGAGGAGACAGACAAGGAUGAAAACAGAGGAGGAGAAGCCAAAAGAUAGUCCUGAGGAAAGGGAGGUAGACGCACACAGAGGCCACAGGACUGGACUGCUGGGAGACGGUCAAGCACAGAGCCAAAUGGGACCCAAAAGAAGAGAGGGCUAUGUGGGGUAACCACCAGACACAUCUGGUUCUGCCAUGUCUUAGGGGUUCCCGUCAGCCAAGAAAGGUCCUUCCAAUGGCUUUUUCCUGUCCUUGAGGCCACCUUGAAGGCACAGGAGAGGGAGAGGUCUGGGGGCAGUGGUGGGGACCAGUGGCGCAGAAAGGGCCUAGAGAGAGGUGGAUGGUGAUGACCCAAAGACCUGGGUCCACUCCCGGAUGGAUCUCAGGGAGGAUGUCUUUCCUUCUACCUGAACACCCUGGCCCUCAGACACUGGGCCCCCCUUCCAGAUUGAGCUCCAUUCUUACUCUGUCCCAUUCCCCACAUUACUGACCUUGUCACUUGACUUGGGCAGCCUGGUCUUCCUUCCCCCUCUCUACUGGCAAACGGGGACCUGCCCAUCGGCAGGGCAUGAACGAUCAAGUUGUGCUCUCUUGGAUCCUAGAUAAAACUGUGAAGCAGGAUGAUCUGGGGCUUUCUGCUUCCCCGAAAGGCCAACAAGGCUCUGCUCUAGAAGGAGGGCCACUCUGAGUCUGGAAUGGUCUUUCCGGAAGAGCUGGAGGCAGACGCCUUUUAGGGAGGGAAGAGAGCUGAAUUCCUGAGGCCUUUUUCCUCCUUUGCCUUCAAAGUCUCUGAGAUGACAGGGACCUCAGCAGCCCCGCCAGCAGGUGGUCAGGUCCCUCUCUCUUCCUUCUUUCUCCUGGCUGUCAUCUCAGCAACUGCUGCUUCUGGAGGAAGAAAACAAAGGCAGUCAGAGAAGGGACAGCAGGACGUGUGGGGCAGGAGUCCCCCCCCAGGCAGGGACACUGUGUGCCCUCUCCCCAAAGAAGGAGAAUCUACCCUGGAGGUCUGCAGGGACAGAGUAACAGAUCAUUCUAGGGGAGAAUAAUGGAAGAGGCUACCAAAAAAAAAAAAAAAACAAAAAAACAAAACUUGAAACUGGUUAGAAGAGGGUCCUUACAGCUCCAGGGCCUGUCCCAGCCCCGAUACAGCAUCAUCCUGUGAACUGACUCACCAUCCCUGCUGCCAAAUCCUUAUGCACAGGAGCGAUGUACAGAUUUGUAGACAGCGCUCCUCUUUCUAGAAUGCCUUGAGCUCCGUGACUCCUUCCUCUCGACUAGAGAAAAAAGCCUUGCGAACGUUCUGCUUGAGGUGGCGUGAACAGAACUUCGAGGUGGUCUCAGAUGUGGAAACUUCUUGCGGUGUGGGGGCCAAAUGAGCUUCUAUUGUACUUCCUGCUGGUGGUCUUACCUUUCACUGGCUUCGUGUGCUCAGGGGUGCCCAGACCCUUGUCCCUGUUGCAAGGCCGUACCGGAAGCCAUGCUUCCCCACAGGCACUACUUAACUAUCUACGAAUAAGGUUGGGGGACAAGGCUCCAGCGAGGUCAGUGGGUCCUCCCAGUUUUACUUCCUGGUCUCUAUCGCAGGGUCAGUGAUGGUCCUCUGUCUUUACACGUCACCCUCUCACAUUCUUCUCCAGAGCCACUCUCCAACCCCCUCCGAGGCCUCUCUGUCCUGCUCUGGGCCCAGAGGCACCGGUCCCGAGCCAUCGGGAGGCGAAUGAAGUCGGAGAGAGUGAGGACUGGCUCUGGGUGUCCCUCGGCGGGACGCUACGGGUCUGGGCCGGGCGCCCUCUGAGCACAGUUGCCCUCUCUGGCUCUCGUAGCCGUGUGUUUCCCCUGCUUUAAGGCCGUCUAUUUCUUACUGAAGCGUGUUCUAAAUCCUGUCAUUGUAGACAGUUGGAUCACUGAGCUUUGCUCAAGCUUCCCGGCGUGGCAGGGCCUUUGUCCCUGCUGGCUCCCUGGCUGAGACAGCCCUUCUCUCCAGUGUGGUUUCUCAGUGUCUGAAAUCCAUGUUUCCUUUCGGUGCGCACACAAAUCUGACACUCCACCAAUAAUUCCAGUGCACUUUAUUGGGUAGUGUGGGAGACCCCCCACCCUUAUACCCUGCAAGAUUAGGCACCACGGAUGCUCAGCAGGGCCAGACUGGUUGCUGUGCAACCCACCUGGCAAGGCUUUGCUGGGCUUUACACUGUGUGGUUUGUGUGGCAAAAAAAAAAAAAAAAAAAAAAAAAAAAAAAAAAAGCGCUCUGAUGGUUUGUUUUCUAAUCUGAAUAGGCUAUAAUUCCGAGACUUUUCCGAGACUUCUGGAAUCUUCAGAUGGAAUGGCUGGAUAGGAAGCCUGAACCCCAGCAAGGAAAGGUGGGGCCGGGGGUGGGGAGAGCUGGGGGUCCCCAUAGUUGGUGUUGCCGAGAAGAGGAGGCAGAAAAUAGAGAUGAACCCGGAACUCUGGGUAAAGUCGACGCUUGAGGGUCAGGCACAGGGAGAGAACCAGGGAAGGAGGACUACGAAAAGGCAUGGUAGGGGUCGGGAGGAUGGAGAGAGAGGGAUUAGGAAAAGUUGGUGUCCCAGAAAUCAAGGGACAGAGAGAGCCCUGGUGACCAUGUCGAAUGCCGCCUGUAGGUUACAUUUUGAAGGCAUCAGCUUGUAUCUUGCGGACUUAGCAAGGCUGGUAGGAAGCUGGGCUGGGGGCUGCUUCUGUGGCACGGUAGGAGUGCUGUGUGGCCCCAGCAGGAAGCCGCUUGAUGGGGAGAUGCCCCCAGAGAAGGAGGGGCUGAGGGUUUCUGAGGACCAAGUCCUGGGGACGGGGGCUGGGACGGGCUGGUGGAAGGCUCGGAGAGACUUUGGGAGAGGCAGGUGCAGCUGGUGGGAGCAGGGGAGGGGUGGACGCAGGCACACUGAGCACCGGGCCCUCCCUGUUCUCGUGAGACUAUUGCUGAGGGCAUUUUCAGGGUUUUCAGCUAAUGGUUGCAAGGUGUCUGGAGACUUCACAGCCAAGUGAAAGGGAGGUAGGUGCCAAGGGCUCACACUGUGCUGGACAGCAGCUUUUCUGAGGUACUUAGAGGCCUGAGAACUUGAAAUUGAAAGCCCACGUCGGGGACUGUUCCCGGAUUAGGGGUCUCCAAGGAGGCUGAGACAAAUGGGCAACAGCUCAUAGGAGUGAAUGUUGGUGACAUGAGGGUCUAAGCAGUGAAGGAAGGAAGUGAACAGGGGCGCCUGGGUGGCUCAGUUGGUUAAGCAUCCAACUUUGGCUCGGGUCUCGAUCUCGCGGUUUGUGGGUUUGAGCCCUGCGUCAGGCUCUGUGCUGACAGCUCGGAGUCUGGAGCCUCCUUCCAAUUCCGUGUCUCUCCUUCUCUGGCCCUACCUUGCUCAGGCUCUUGUCUCUGUCACUCUCUCUCAAAAAUAAAUAAACCUUAAAAAAAAAAAAAGGAAGCGAGUGAAUCCUGGGUGCUGAGACCCCAGUGGGACCCCAGGGCCUGGAGUUCUCCACGAGAUUGAAAAAUGGGGACGUGUUUUUAUAAUGACUCCUGGACUAUUUGAUUAUCGUUGUAACCAGCCAACAAACAAAAAGUCAAUUGAAAAUGUCAAAUUUCCCAAAUGCCCAUCAACUGGAUAAUGGAUAAAUAACUUGUGGUAUAUUUCUAGAGGGGAAUACUGUACAAUUCCAUGCAAUAGCUUGGAUAAGCCUCAAAAACAUGUAACUGUUGAGCAAAAGAGGUCAGACAUAAAAGACUAGGUGCUAUUUGCCAUCCUUUCCAUAAAGUUCUACCAACAGGCAAAAGUAAUCGGUGGCUUUAGGUUCCAGGAUAGUGAUGACUCUUGGGGGAAGAGGUCACUAGAAAAGGGAGGUACCGGGGUACCAAUUGUUCCCCAGGAGCUCCACAGGCCCAUUCAGCCAGUGAAAUGCACUGCCUUGUGCAUUUGUGACAGGGGCAUUUUUCUGUAUGCUUAUUCUCCUUCAAAAAAAAAAAAAAGCUUACUUUAAAAAAGAGGGAGACUAUCUCAUGCGAAGCAAUAAUUCCCUUGGGCUCCAAGGCCAGUCCCUUCUGAGAUCACCUCCGAUAACAGAAGUUGGGCCUCCUGGCCAGUUGGAAGCAGCAGGUAUGAAGAUGGCAAUGAUUCUCCCUCUCCAGUGCCAUCCCCUCCGUCUUCUCCCCCUGCCCUCGUCCGUUAUGACGAAAGGCAUUCUUGAUGCCCAACCACAUCAUAAAUAACUAAAGGCCAUUUCCCCUCUGGAAUCGUCCAAGCUUUGUGUCUAGUGUCUCCUGAAGCAAGGCCUACAGCUAUGGCCUUUGUCUAAAACGGAGUACCUGGGAGGUAGCUGAGGCUAUCCCUCUGCUAGAGGGUGCCAGCUCCCCUCAGCAGGCCGUACAGGGCCCCGCAGUCCCAGAUCCACCCGGGAGGGGUGCCUUUUCUAAUUGGCCCCAAGGUGCCCAAGAGAUCCUCAACAUCCCUGCUAGAAGUUGUUGGGCAACCAUGCUCGAGGUCUUACGAUGUCCGGGCCAGAAAGAAGGGAGCGUGAGGGUUUAACCAUAGUGUUACACGGUAACAAUAGUGAUGGGUAUAGACCCUUUUAUUGUUCAAAGCACUCGCACGGACAUGAUGUGUGGCCAAGGCUUUGCCCGGGUCCCGGCAAGAAGGAUAGAAGCAUCUCUCCUGGCCACAGCUCCUCUGGCUCCCCCAGGAGCCAACUGGGUGGUGGUGAGAGAGGGCUAGUUUGGACACUGUGCACAACAGUCCUUCUCCCUCUGUGUGUCACUGGCAGACGCGAGGGUACGUCUGCCUUUAUUAGUUCAUAAGACAUGUGUUGUCUGGGGUUCUGUGUGUCCUGCCGUCAUUCGGUCGCUGAUGGAAUCUCUCUGUGGCCACAGUCAUUCUCAGUUCCCGCUUUCGGUGGCUGUGAGGGGCCCACUGGGUGUAUGUGAGGAGCCUGGGGCUCUGCCCGUCCCCAGGCUGCCCCUCCCAGUGGGCUUGUUGCUCACAGUGGCUUUGCAGUGGGCAUUCUGUGGGGUCUGGUCAUGGCCCUAGACUUUCUGUCCUAUGUUGUGUUUUGUUUUGUUUUUCCUUCUCUGUGUUCAAGUCUUCUCCAAGGCUUUCUGUGGGGUUUUUGCUCUUUAAACAAUUCCUUUUGAUUUUUUUCCCUUAUGAAAGGUCACAUUUCAUCUUGGUUCCUUUCCCGGAAAUUGAGUACCAGGGAGGGCGUACUAGGGCUAUCCCUCUGCCACCAGAGCGUUAAAGAUCAUGUGGGCACUGAGAGCCUCGAUACCGCCCUGAGGACCCCUCCCACUCCAAAGUCUGUCACUUUGGAGAAUGGACCCAGCCUAUUUCCCGUCUUUAUGGAUGAGAAAACUCUGUAUUUGAGGACACAGCCACGUAUCUUCACUGAGAGCCUCACCUCUGUUGCUCGUCCUGAAGAGGCAGUGAGCAAUCUGAGCCCAGAGAGGGGGAGUUUUAUUCCGAGGAGUAAAGUGGCAACUGACUGAUGGGAAUAACGUUUGGAGCUCAUCAUCCAGCAAAGUGGCACAACUAGAAAAGACGAAAGGUCUAGAGAGCUUUGGGGAACGUCGCAGGGCAAUUAGUAAAAAGAGCUUUAGUUAUCGACAACGAGUCCAUUAUGGCCACGUUACCGCGGUUCGCUGAUCCGCGCAAUGGAGGAUUGUUUGAGCAGCCUCCUGCCUUCUUCCCUCCUGUAGAAUUUCUCAUCGGUCAGAGCCACUGUCAUCGGUCCAGCUGCCUUCCGCCAGUUGUGUCUCACUCACUUCUGUGGGGACGGCACCAGCCACGCCGUUUGAUUUCUCGACUUGGGAUGCGCUUGUAGGAACAGCUAGGGAUUUGUCUUUGCUUUUUGCCCCUCCCCGGGCCUGCCAGUGGUCAGAUUACGCGGGUGAAUGUUACCAUUUGCUUUCCAUCCCUUUGCAUUUCCUCCUGACUACUGGCCGUCACUGGGCAGGUACCAAUCGGAAUCUCGGUGCAGUUUGGCACCAAUUGUCAUUUGCUCCUAUUUUCGAUAAAAAACUACUCCGAUUCCAUUUGCAUCACAGUCCCAGCAACUUGGAGCCCUUUAUCCAGCCAGUGCUCAGAGGCCCCGCCUGUCUUGUGUAACCGCAUCAGAACGCUCGGAGGAGCAGAAUUGGAGGACAACGAAUCCAGCAGGAGAGUAGGGGUGCUAGAAUGAAGUGGUGACCCGGCCUGGGUAUCGGCUGGGCCAGAGAACGUGGUAGCAAGCACUCGCUAUGUGUGGGUUGACCUGGAGAUCGGAGGUUCUAGACCUUGGCGAGUUACCAAGGGGGCUGGGGAGGCGAAGAGGAUGAGGCAGAGAGAGACAGUGAAGAAGACCCCAAUGUCUAAGGGGAAAGGGAGAGGCGUGAAGAUUCGUAGUGGGGCAGGAUGCUCCGUGGAUAAGGCGUGGCUGGGAGGAUAGCCGUUUGGGGGCGUUGGGAGCAGAGAAGGGAGGAGGGGAAAUGAUGGCCACCCUUUUGGGCCAUAUAUAUGCAAAUGAUUGACAGUAUGAGGGGGAACUCUUGAGGGCAGCUUGUCUCUGGCAGUGGCCGCAGCUCCCCCUCUCCCUUCUGCCUCCUGACCACCCACUUGCACCAACAACAGAGUCUGCCGUCAGCCCACCUCCAGCCGGGCUGAAAGAGCCUCUUUCCUGGGCGUGGAGGUGGCCAAGCCCUGCCUUUCUCUCCCUCCUGCGUGCCCCCAAAUCCAAACUCCUGAAGCCCCCCAACCACCCCCCGCCAGGACCCUUCCCCCACUUGCUUCCUCAUCCCCAGCAAACUCUCCAGAACCAUCUAGCCCUCAGCUGGUUUGUCCUCUGGGCCUCUCCCCUCCACAUGACUUUACUUUAGCGAGACAACUAGGAAGCAGCAGGAGACAGGCCUCCAAGGGCUCCUCCUUCCUCCUGCCCCAGGAGUCGUUCUGUAGUGUCACUAAAGAGUCUAUGGCUCUUUGGGGCACAUGGGUGGCUCAAUCAUGACCUGAGCUGAAGUUGGACGCUUAACCAACUGAGCCACCCAGGGGCCCCUGGAUGUUCUUGCACCCUAGGGAGGGACAGAACAGAGUGGGGACUGGGGGAGAGGACCUCUGAUAUGAUCUUAGUCUGGGCUGUGCUUGUCUUUCCUCUUCAGUAGUAACUGGCUGGGGAUGAGGCAGCAGGGCAGGCUCCUGGCGGGGUGAUGGGAGUAGAGUUCCCACCAGAGACAAGCCUGGGAGACUGUCAGGCAGAGGGGCCUCCAGAGAGCCCUGGAUGGCCAGCGGCUUUUCCUUAGGGAGCAGAGAUCUUGCCUUCCUCCGAGCCCUAAUCGGUUCCCAGAAGAGACACUGUCUGGCUUCUCCUGACACACGUUUCUUCUGUGUGUUGUUGGCUCCUCCUUCCCAGUCCAGCUCAGCUAACUGUCCUCCCAGAAAAGCCUUCUCUGAUGUCCUUCAGCUCCAGAGGCCUCCCUCCACCCCCCAAGACUCUCCUGUUGGUCCUAUUUUCUUGACAUUAUCUGGAUAGACCUUGUCCAUCUUGGUUUUCUUAUUGGUUGCCUGUCUUUCCUCCCUAGAGGGUAAGCUCCAUGCGGGGUGGGUGGGCGGCAGGGGGUGCUGGUCAUUCUUGACUGCAGCUGUACCUUCAGCUUCUAGGAUGGGGCCUGACACAGUUAGGCCCUCAAUGAGUAUUUGUUGAAUGGAUGAAUGGGUGGGUGACAACAGAUGGACAAGCACCAGGUCUCUGGGACGAGAGUUGCAUCAAGGUCCCGCCAGGCACUGAUAGAGAAUGCAUCUUGGGGCCCGGGGCUGGCUAAUGUUUGCUCCCUGACAGAUGGCACGCUGAGAGAUUCGUGGAAUGGGAUUUAAGCCUGGUUUCAUUUGAGCCUGAACCCCUUGGAGGCAGGGAAAGGGAGGACCAAAAAUGUACAGUUCUAUUCUCCCUGCCUAGGCAUGGGGUCGGCUCUGGAGGGCCAGGCAGUCCACAGGGGUGUCUGAGGGUCAGAGAGGGAGAAGUGUGGUCCCCAGGCUGUCUGAUGGAGUGGAGGUGUGGUGCUGUGCAUACAGAGACUGUGGGGUGUCACAGUCCUUGGGUGACAGUGCUCAGUCCAGUGGCAGACAGGCAGGGCCUUGGACUACGUGCGGGAACAGGUGGCACUUCCCCCCCAGACCCUUGUCCCCUCCCUCCCCACCCCCACUCAAAUACCCAAGUUGUGGAUGGAGACUCUAACCUGGACCUCUUUCCAGCUUUAGCGUAGGUGGUUCCGGCCCUGUUCUCCUUUUCUAGCUAACAGCGCCGUCACCGCUGCCUCUGAGACCCCAGCAUGGCCAACACAGCGAAAAGGAAUGGAAGGUACCUAGAGAUCUCCCCCUGGCCCGCAGGGUCCCGCUACCUCCCAAGUUCAGAAAAUGUCAGACAGCGGGACAGGGAAGCUCAGAGAGGAACUUAAGAACUUCACUGAAGGUGGAUUCUAGAAUAGGUUAGUGAUGCCUUUUUCUUCUAAGGGGCUCCUUCCCUCUUUCUACAUUUGCAAGGGAGUUCAAAUCUUUUUUUUUUUUUUUUUAAGAGAGAAAAUAUCUGAGCUUGGAAAGAGGAACCCCAAGCUGAUACCAGUCUGGGUUGGGGAUCUUUGAGGAUGGACAAAACUAUUCAAGCAGCAAGGAUCAGAGGGCAGAUUGCCCGUCACCCCACCCAUGUCCUCUUGGCCUGACCAGCCUUGGCCAGGCCCCUCACCCCUGAUGGGAGGUCUGGAAGCAUCCCAUCACAUCUCCAAAGAGCAUUAAACGUUGAGCCUUGGGGAGCCUCUAGGGCUUGGCGUCUGGGCCCAGGAGAUGUAGAGAAAGGCAUGGCUUUGGACUCUCCACACUUGUCCCUUGGGCAUUGAUCUGAUGAGCCUCUGCAGCCUCCCAUGCUGCCGUCCCCAGAGAGCAAGGUGCCCCAUUGGGCAUUUCCUCUGCAUGGACCCACCAUCUAUCACAUCUGCCCCUGGCUGUGGCAUGCCAAUCUCCCUUAUCUCAGCCUCCCAUGAUGAUAGCAGGGCUCUUGCCGUGUAAGCCCCAUCCUGCUUCCUGGUCUUGGGUCCAUCCCUGUGGGACCCUCUCUUGCUUGAACCUCAGGGUCUCAGUGCCGGGUCCUCGUCCCCUUCAUAGCUGCCACCUGUUCAACUUUCACAGGCUCUUCUCCCUGCACUCAGCGGUGGCCUGGGAGAGGCGCUCCAGCUGCCAGGCCAGUCACCUCCUGGUCAGGCAUAGAGUCCUGUCCAUUUUUAAUGCUUGUCUGCCAAGGACAGUGGGGCAACAUAACGUAAAGAUGUUCAGGAAAUCUCAGACAUGACACGAAACACUUGUCUCUGACCAAGCGGAAGUGUCCGUGGCUGGGGAAGGUCUCAUCCUCUGGUUGGUUCUUCAUGGCUUUCACCUUCAUACCUCUUUGGAUUUUCUUGAGUCUCCUGAAGGACAGCUGUGAUCCAGUUUGUUCUGGGUAUUGUAUGUGCAUUCACAGACUGUAGGAAGUGAAGGGGAAGGAUGGGGGGGUGGGUGGGCAGAAUCGGCCAGUUGGGGCAGCACAGGAAGAUCCCAUUGCAAGUGGGGCCACUGUCCCCGAUGGUGGGAGCUGAGACAGCCUGAGAUCAAUGGGGGCCAUGACAGAUCCUUGUAUCAGUCCCUGGGCCUCCCUGGCAGCCCACAGGACCCCUGUCAGUCAGAGAAGACCAAGUAAGGGGUCUUAUGAAAUGCUCACUGGAUGGUACAGGACGAGGGGGCUUUCUGGGCAGGAACACCCACACUGAAGGACUUCAAAGGAGGCAGUCCCCUUUGGGACUGAUCCUGCCUGAUAGUCUGGUUCAUAACUUAAGUUCAUAGACUUAGGAAGCUGGAGUAGGUAAAGCUAAGGGGAUGGACGGAGGGUUAAGGGUUAGUCCCAAAUAGCCACUAAAGAAGCCUGUGUAUGGCACUUGGGAUCCUAACAGUGGGGAAGGUGCAGGAAUGAUGUGGGCCCUACUUGCAAGAAGGGGAAGCAGAGAGAGUGUGAGAAUUGCCUCCUAAGAAUCUGGGUCGGAGCCAGGAAGAGCUUUAGUCCCAAAGCAUUGUCCCUGAUUGAAGAGCUUGGAAGUAGAGAGGACCUGGGGUCAGGGCCUUGUGUCAGGACUGUCCCUGGGGCCGGGUCCCUCUGGAUGGUGGCCUGGCCUUGAACUUGGGUCUGAAUGGCCAGAGACUCUUCCUCCACGAGGUGCUUGCCUUCUGCUAGCCUCAACUUUUCAGGAAGAGAAUAUAUGCAAAACAGGGAUUGGGGUGGUUUGGGGAUGGGAUGGGGCUUUGGGCUCUUAAUGGACUAGGAUGACAUCAACUCCUAUGGCGGACUGGCCAAUUUCCACACCAAAAAAAAAAAAAAACCAAACAAACAAACAAACAAAAAAAAACCCAUCUGGGAGCAAGGGAGCAAACCCAGGAAUAAAGGCCAUAUAGAGAAGUGACCCAGCAUUAUAGCUAAAGUUGGCAUAUGGGAGCAUUCCAAUUUGUUCUAGAAAGGACAAAGAGGCAGUGGAAAAAAUCACCAGUUCCUGGUUCUAUCGCCUACAUUAGCUACAAUCCCAGGGGUUAGCAAACUAGGUUUUAGUUCUGAAAGAAGAGUGUCUAACUCUCUCUGUCAUCCUGAGUGGUAUGUUGAGGACCAGGCUGAGCGAGCUGGACUAUGGAAUUUUUCCUUAAGUGAGGUCCAGGCAGAAAAGGAGGGAUCCUGGGAAGGAGAAGAGAGAAAGAGAAACCCCUCUCCAGGGUUCAGCCCCAGAGCCUCUGGGGAGAGCAUUACUAGCUGAGUACAUCGAAAACAAAGGGCAAGUGUCCCCAUGGCCACCUGGGCACAGACCUACACCUGGGCCACCUUUCAUGGGCAGACUGCAGGGUUAGACUCUUUAGUUUUCUUGGGCUGCCCUGGUCCCCAUGUGCUUUAGGAAAGACCCAGAAGAGGCUGGCUUUUCGACUGGAGGUGCCCAGGUGUAAGGGUCACUCCGGCGUGGACACCGCGCUGGACCCCGUGGAGGCCGGAGCUGGCUCAGAGUGCCAGCAGGGGCACUGCUUGGGCCACAGAAGGAGCCACAACCCUGCACCCAUGGGGCAAGGAGUCCCACCCUGAAGACCGGAGCAGGUACAUAUGGGGCCUCGCAGAGACUCUCCAUCAGUGAAUGGGACUGGACUUUAAACCAGAUUGAGCAUUCGGGCACAGCUUUUUUUUUUUUUUUUUUUAGUUUAAUUUAAUUUACUUUUUUUUUCAAUAUAUGAAGUUUAUUGUCAAUUUGGUUUCCAUACAACGCCCAGUGCUCAUCCCAAAAGGCGGGCACAGCUUUUUUAAGCUAUAGCCCAAAUAAAUUUCAUUUUCUCUGUCCAAUUGUGUCGUGUUGGUUAAAUGUGGCAGCCCUUCCCCAUCAGCCACCAUUGUUGUCAGAAGAUGUAGUAUUUCUGCCUUCACUCAAGAGGGCUCCCAGGGCGCCUGGGUGGCUCAGUGCGUUAAGUGGCCGACUUCGGCUCAGGGUCAUGAUCUCGCGGUCUGUGAGUUCGAGCCCCGCGUCGGGCUCUGUGCUGACAGCUCAGAGCCUGGAGCCUGUUUCAGAUUCUGUGUCUCCCUCCCUCUGACCCUCCCCCGUUCAUGCUCUGUCUCUCUCUGUCUCAAAAAUAAAUAAACGUUAAAAAAAAAUUUAAAAAAGAGGGCUCCCUGGCUGCCAGCAUCCCCUGGUCCUUUCCAAGGUGUUUACUGGGUCAUUAGCGUUGAGACCCAGAGAGCCAAGCGCUGAUACUGACUGAUUCCACCUAUGGCCUUGGACUGAACAUCCUGUGUAGCAUCCUGGGCCCGAAGUCUACAACAGAGGAGCCAAACACACACAUCUGUGCUUGGAUCCCAGACACGCCCCCAGCCUUGAGGUCCAGAUGAUCCCUGGAGGCUGGAUCAAGGGAGUGCCUCCUUAGGGUCUCCUAAUCGACCCUCCAGGAGCAGGGAACAGGCCAAGGUGGGUAGGGGAGCUAGACAGACCACAGGGUUGGAGAUCAGGCGGUUGAGUACUCCCUCCUCCCCGGGAAAGGAGGACUAAGGUCCUCAGCUCAGAUGGAAGAUUAGAACGCAGUGUCAUAAAGGUUGUAAGAGCCUGGGAACAUCCUGAUGGGGCUUUGUGGCCCAGGAGGGUGCCUGAACAGUCUCCUGACCAGGGAUGAUGGCACAGUGGCAGGGAAAGGAGGUGCUUCCAGGUCCCCGGUGGGCAGCCAGGACAUCUGAGGAGGGCAGGAGUCUCCCCAAGGAUCUUGGCCAGUGGCCCAGGCACCCACUGGGAGAGGAACUGUGGAGGUUGGCAAACUGGGGCUGGGACCCAAGCCAUCGGGACCUUGUCUGUCUUUCCGUCGUCCUUAGCAGGUCACCUCCACCCUCGUGCUCAGAAGAUGCUAAUGUUCCUCCAGGGACCAUGCCCAGAAGAAAGGGACAGAAGGCCUGAUGGGGCGCACUGGGCCUGUCCCCUUUGUGCUUAUAUCUCAUCAGCCAGAACCGCCUCACGUGCUAUCCCCACGUGCAGUCACUGAGAAUCACCAGGGAGGACGAAGGGCCUUGGGGUGCACACCAGCACCCCAGUCGACUGUGCCCUGGCAUAGCUGCCUCCCUGUCUCCUCCUCCAUUUUGCCAAAGGCCCCCACGUGGGGGGCAGAGUCCUGGCUUCAACAGCCUUCCCGCUGGCCCCUGAAGAGUGGAUUGGCAUUUUAUGGCAAUUUGGCAGAAAGCACGAUGGAUAUGGCCUCUGCCACCACAGAGGGGGCAGUGGUGGGGUAAGUGGAGGCUGGGGACAGCACAACGGAUUGGAAAGCACGUAGAAGAGGCGUGGAUCCCAGUCUAGAGGGGGCAAUGGGCAGGGAGAACUUCCAGGAGGCGGGAGCUGUCCUGGCUAAAACCUAAAAGGCAGACAAGAGCAAGUUGGGAAGGAAUCCAAGAGGGUGACAAGUGACAGAGCUAAGGAACAGGGAAGAAUCUGGAGGGUGCGGGAAGAACCGAGGUUGGAGAAGCAGGCCCAGCGCAGGGCGUCCAGAGCUGUGGGUGUGGGGCAGGGAAUAAAACCAAGGGUGGCCUGGGGCGCAGUCCCUUGGUGCUGCGGGGUCCUUGGGGGGUGGGGGGCUGGGUGAGAUCACAGGCCUCCGCAGAGACCCUGCACCUAAGGCCCUACUUGGAGCACCAGGGCUGGUGACCUCAGGGCAUUUAACUGCUGGUACUUGGGGGGGGGGGGCUGGGGCAAGGGUGCAGGAUAAAGGAGGGGGGCCUCACGGAAGGGAGAUCAGGGUUCAGUAGAUACUCUCUUCCAUAUGCAAUAGGAGGUGUGGCUUCUGUCAAGAGGGGCCGGUACAAGAGGGGACUAACUAGGCUCUAGCUAAGGGCCAACUAGAGGCUGACUAGGAGCCCGCCUUUCUGGCGGGGCAGGAUCAGCACGGGGUUGCGGCCAGGGUGGUCUGGGCAGGAGUGCGGCCACAGAAGGCUGGCACGAAGUCACUCGCCUCCUUCUUACCAAAUCCAGGCAUCCCGUUCUACUCCAUCAUGCCACCCGAAUCCUCUCUUUGGGCUUUAUAACCUCGAAUCUAAACCUGAUCCCUACCUACACCUAAAAAGGAAAUUUGGGGGAAAAUGAAAAUGCUGAAUUUGUUUAAAUUGUCAUAAAAGAAGAUAGUCAUUCGUAGAUUUUCAUGAGUAACCGGAAAUGUUCACAAAGCACUUUGUGUUAUGAUGGGAAAGACAAGAAGCAUGCUUAUCAGUUAUUUAGUGCCUACUAUAUGCCUUCUCUUCACUGGUGGGCAGCGACAGCCCCUUCCCACCCCCAUUCCCCCACCCCUACCCCCCCACCAAGCUCCGUCCCUGCCACUCAGAGCGAGAUGGCUUAGUGGACUAAAGCCCCUAAACAUACUCUUUGCCCAGAGAAAAAUCCUGUCUGCACUUGGCCCAGGAAUGGAGACACAGCCCCGGUGACCUCCCCCUUUUGACUGCCUCCCCCUUCUGACUGCCUUUUGAGCCCUGAGUGGUGGGAGAAGGUGUAGGUUUCAUUUGCCAGGGAGGUGGGGCAGGUGGGAGGGGAGGUUGGUGGGAGCUGGGGAAAAGUCGGUGGGAGCCCCAGGAAGCUUAGGUGAAGUUAUACUGGAUGCUACUGGAAGGGUGAGCACAGCUAGGAGAGACUGAGCCUGAGUUGGGGGGGGUGGGGGUGAGGAGAUGACCCAGCUCCUGGGCUCCAGGUUCUGCAGGGCUGUGUGAUACCCUGCCUUCUGGGGCUGCACUCCGUGGCACUUCCUACUUGGGUUUUAUGGCAAGGUUCCUUAGCCCCUGAGCGGGACACAUCUGAGCCUAUAAAACGGGCAGCUUGUUUCUCAUGGGAUCUCUGGGGAGGAAAAAAAUACUGAUAAAGCAUUUCCGAUUCUAAGAAGGAUGCCUCACAUACAGCAAGUGCUGUGGGGGAGGGGGGGAUGGUGGGGAAACUGAGCAAUCACGUAGGACUACGUGGAAACACAGAUGGCCUAACCUCUCUCCACCCCACUUCCGCACUCAGCCCACGCUUCUGGUCCCACCAAACUGCCCACCUCUCUGCAAGUGCCCCCUGCCCCUUGUGGUCUCUGCUUUCAGUUCGUCUCGGUUCUCUGGAUCUGAAAUGCCCUGGCCCUUGCUUCUUGUCACCCUCCAGCCCCCUCUCCUCCAUUUAAGGAUCUCCUCCCCGCCCCCUCCCUCCUGACAGCCUUGGGAGCGGGGCUGCCAGCUCCUGGCUGGGCCCUCAGCUGCACACACACCUGUGCUGUGGAAGAAAGUUCUCUGGCUCCACAGAGGGCCAGGUGAGAACGCCCAGUCCCAGCCCUAGAAGCGGGGAACGUCUCAAUGGCCAGGCAAGGAGGCCGAAGUCCGCCCUGGUUCUUCCGAUUCCCGGACCCUGACACCCUUUCAGCCAUCCCCAAAGGGACUGCGGGGUGUGGCAGCUGGCAGCAGCUGUCCAGGGCCAGGAGUCCUUCCAACCGUCACCGACAUUGACCAUCCUGUCAAGGAGUGCCACAGUCACUGCGUGAUGGACUGCUCUCGUCCCUCCACAUCCAUCCCUGCCUUUGUGAUAAAACCCUGCUUUUGGGGUGGAAAUGAAGUGAUUGCACAAUCCCACAGCCCUCCUUGGCAGCCGCGUGCGGCCACGUGUGGAUUUCAGGAAGCCCGGAAAGGGGACAAGUGUGUUCCUCUUCCCGCUGCCCCUGGGCUGGAAGGCGGACAAGUGAUUGGCUGUCAUCUCUGACCACGAGACGGAGGCCACGUUGUGAGGACAGAAGAGCAACGGCUGACCACCAAGGACCAGCCCCGGAUUGCCUGUAUCAAGCAUAUGAAGUCUACAGCCAUACCACCCUGAACGCGCCCGAUCUCGUCUGAAAUAGCAUAUGAAGACAGCUACGUCACAGAUCAGGAACUGGAAGGAGGUCCAGGCACUGUCCAUCCCAUCGAGGUCGAGGCACAGUCCAUCCCAUCUCCCUAUGAUACAGAUGAGGAAACUGAGGCCCAGGAAAGGAACACGACUAGGGCACCCCACACGGUGAGUUGGUGGGCUGGACUCUGGCCAGUGGGCACGUCCCACCCUGCCCACCUGCCCCCUGUCCGUGUGUUGGCCCCUGAAACAAACUUGAGAGGUAGAUGUAGGAUAUGUGGGGUCUGCCUUGGCUGCCUGUCGGAGCUCUAGCUCUUCUGCUGCGGGGACAUCUGUUGGCUUCCAGAAAACAGCCUGGCUGACAAUCAGACCAAGAAGUCCCCGGAGGAACAAAGACCAUGUUCAGAAGGGCACACAGACAAGGCCACUCCGGGCCAGCGGCUCCAGCUGACUUUAAUCCUCCCCCCUCCUAGGUAUUGAUGAAGAUCCCUGUUACUGAAUUCCCUCCAACUUCUAGACAGCACCCAACCCCAGACCGCCUCUGCUUUCCCGACCUCUUCUCGAAUCGCUCCCCACCAACCUGAACCCUCUAAGAGGCCUCUCUUGGGACCUUCCUUUUGAGAUUCUCUGGAGAUCCUGUAGGGCAUGUACUUUGCUGCGCAAGCUAAAUAAACCUAACUUUUUUGGACUA